AAUUGCUCACAUUGCUCACAAUUUAUAAAUUAUAAAUUUAUUGCUUAUGCUUCUAGGAUAAUGAGGAAAUCACAGAGCAGCAUACUGAACCAUUACAAUGAUGGACCUAAGAGUAAGACGUUAACUCAAGCCAUUUCUUAUUCAAAGUGACACAGUAAAUGAAAAAUGGCUUGAGUUAAUGUCUUACUCUUAUUGUGCUGCUAUAGCAAAAUAACAUAGACUGGAUAAAUUAUAAACCAGUGAGAAGGAAUGGAUGGGUGCCCCACUUAAAGAAGC
rnacentral:lncRNA from 1 species